AUGGGAGGAUAUGCGUCGACCUGCGACCCUGAGCAUGGUUGCGGUAGGCGUCGCCGCUUCGCCUCGCUCUCCGGCUGUCCGGGGGAUCGGGUGGUCGGGUUUGGUGGGCGAGAUCGAUUCACCGAAACGACCAGAACGAACGAAGGAAGAGAAAACGAAGGAAGGAGUAAAUUGCAGCAAAGCGCCGCGUUCAAGGUUGAACAAUCGAGGAGGCCGAGGGAUGACUAUAUUGGGAUCGUGGUGGAUUGGCUGAUGGAUGUGGUUGACGAGUUCAAACUUCUGGCUGACACACUUUACCUUCGGAUUCAUACAUUGGCCAACUCCUCACAGCGAGACAAGCUGAGUUUAUUGGUGUCGCUUCAUUACUUGUUGUUGUCAUGA
rnacentral:rRNA from 1 species